ensembl:lncRNA
GUUCCCAGUGGAUCUGUCCUUCCGGAGACACCCAGGAAGAUGAUUUCCAACCCUUAACUUUCUCCACCUGUCCCACCCCAGCACCUACCAUCAAUCUGCUGCCCCACCUCUCUGAAAGCCAGCUUAGUGCUGUCCUUCUCAGCUGCAAUUCUCCUGGGAGAACCAAGCCUCCUUCCUGGGGGAGGCUGUGAGGGAGACCGAGCCAUCCGAGAAGAAUCCUGGGGCCCCAAAGAGUAACUAAUGGCCUACAGCUGUUGGCUGUAAGGAAAACCCAUCAGGACUGAUGGAGACUUUGCCAGGUUUGUGCCUGUGUGGCCCACCGGCAGCUACUGCAAGUUUAAUUAUUAGCAACAGUUGGGAAGUGUCUUCUCUCCCACCCACAGCCUCCAUAUAAAUAUUUCUUUCUACCAUCUGUCACACUGACUGAAGUCUCCGUACUCAGAUUUUGACAAUGGUCAGGUUUUCAAGAGCUUCCUACUAAAAAUGUAAAUGUGGCAGGGAGAUCAUCAAACUGGACUAUGAAUGCUAUGGCCAUGGAAAGGGGCUGCUUCGGGGGAUUGGUAACUGACAAGCAUGUAGAUAAAUAUGAUAAGAAACUCCUUGGUAAUUUUCCUAAUGACAGUGGGAAACAUUUUUAUAUACAAAAGCAGAAUUAACUUUAAAGUUAAUUAGAAAGUUGAACAGCCCCAGAAAUUAUGCUUUUAAAUAGCAGUCCAAUUUAAAUAAUGCCCCAAAGGCCAAAGUUUUUUUAAAAAAUAAUUGUACAAAUUCUUGUUAAGUUAAACUAUCUAAGCUUUGCUGUAAUACUGAUUUCUCUUCAAUAUGUGAUGGUACAAGAACAAGGUUAAAUGAAGGGGUAGUAUUAAAAAGCAGAGACAUUACUUUGCCGACAAAGGUCUGUCUAGUCAAAGCUAUGUUUUUUGCAGUAAUCAUGUAUGGAUGUGAGAGUUGGACUAUAAAGAAAGCUGAGCACUGAAGAAUUGAUGCUUUUGAACUCUGAUGUUGGAGAAGACUCUUGAGAGUCCCUAAAGGACUCUCAAGUACAUCCUAAAGGAAAUCAGUCCUGAAUGUUCACUGGAAAGACUGAUGCUGAAGCUGAAUACUUUGGCCACCUGAUGCAAGAACUGACUCAUUGGAAAAGACCAUGAUGCUGGGAAAGAUUGAAGGCAGGAAGAGAAGGAGAUGACAGAGGAUGAGAUGGUUGGAUGGCAUCACCAACUCGAUGGACAUGAGUUUGAGCAAGCUUCGGGAGUUGAUGAUGGACAGACAUCUCACCUGUGACCUGUAACCUAUGACUUCUGACCAUCGAACUGUGAUCCUUGAAACUGCAAGUGAAAGUGCAAGUCGCUCAGUUGUGUCCGACUCUUUGUGACCCCAUGGAAGAGGAAAAGACCCCAUGCUGCUGCCAAGUCACUUCAGUUGUGUCCGACUCUGUGCGACCCCAUAGACGGCAGCCCACCGGGCUCCCCCAUCCCUGGGAUUCUCCAAGCAAGAACACUGGAGUGGGUUGCCAUUUCCUUCUCCAAUGCAUGAAAGUGAAAAGUGAAGCACAGAUCUCAAUAAAGGCAGAUAGAGGCCGGAUUACAGAACCCUUAGAGUGAGCAUGGGGCCCUUAGAAAUGCUAAAUCAGUGGCUGGACACCAGAAUGUUGAAGGGUCAAAAUCUGAAGCCCAUCUUUAAGGGUGCCAGGUGUACAUGGCCUCCACAGAUUCUUACAACGGUACAUGUGGGGCGUAAAACAAAUACAACACUGGAAAUCAAUUCUAUCCCAAUGUAAGAUAAAAAUCAAGUUGAAAGGCAGAAAAAGGGGGAAUGAAGAAACGCUGCUGCUUGUGGCUCUUUCCCCUAAGAACAAUUUUAAAACCUGAGUUGAUGGGCACUUCGUACUCAUAAGGCCUGUGGGACUGUAAAAGACACCUGUCCUCAAGAGAUGUCCUAGGGUAAACCAUCGGGGAAAAUUCAAAACAGAGCUGACUUUUAAGAAGCUGGCUUCAAGAAGUAAAUUGUACUCACACUGUAUAAGAUUUUUUUAAAAAACACACGGAAAGACACUCCACUAACUAUUAAAUCAAUGCAAAUCAAAACUACAAUGAGUUAUCCCUUCAGACAGGUUAAAUUGGCCAUCAUCGCAAAGAUCUACAAAGAAUAAAUUCUGCAGACAGCAUAAAGAAAAGGGAAUCUUCCUGUACUUCUGGUGGGGUUGUAAAUGGGUCUAGCCACUAUGGAAAACAGUAGGCAGGUUCCCUAAUAAACUAACAUAGAGGUAUCAUGAUCAGCAAUCCCACUCCUGGGCUUAGAUCUGGAGAAAAUCGUAAUUCAAAAUGACACAUGCAUCCCUCUUUUCAGGGAAGUAUCAUUUAUAAGAGCCAAGACAUAGAAUCAACCAAAAAUGAAAGUGAAAGUCUCUCAGUCAGUCAUGUCUGACUCUGUGACCCCAUGGACUAUACAGUCCAUGGAAUUCUCCACGCCAGAAUACUGGAGUGAAUAGCCAUUCCCUUCUCCAGGGGAUCUUCCCAACCCAGGAUUGAACCCAGGUCUCCCAUGUUGCAAGAGGAGUCUUUACCAGCUGAGCCACAAGGGAAGCCCAAGAAUACUGGAGUGGGUAGCCUAUCCCUUCUCCAGCGGAUCUUCCCGACCCAGGAAUCGAACUGGGGUCUCCUGCAUUGCAUGCAGAUUUUUUUACCAACUGAAUUAUCAGGGAAACCGUAAAAUGUCCUUCAACAGAAAAAGGAAGUCCAAGUGGUACAUCUAUACACUGGAAUACUGCUAAGUCACUUCAGUUGUAUCCGACUCUGUGCGACCCCAUAGACGGCAGCCCACCAGGUUCCCCCGUCCGUGGGAUUCUCCAGGCAAGAGUACUGGAAUCGGUUGCCGUUUCCUUCUCCAGUGCAUGAAAGUGAAAAGUGAAAGUGAAGUCGCUCAGUUGUGUCCGACCCUCAGCGUCCCCAUGGACUGAAGCCUUCCAGGCUCCUCCAUCCAUGGGAUUUUCCAGGCAAGAGUACUGGAGUGGGGUGCCAUUGCCUUCUCCAAUACACUGGAAUACUACUUAGCCACAAAACAGAAUGAAAUAGUGCCAUUGGCAGCAGCAUGGGUUGACCAAGAGAUUAUUAUACUAAGUCAGAGAGAGAAAGACAAAUGUAAGAUAUCACUUACUGAUGGAAUCUGUAAAUUCAUACUGCUGCUGCUGCUGCUAAGUCGUUUCCGUCGUGUCCGACUCUUCUUGACCCCAUGGACUGCAGCCUACCAGGCUCCUCUGCCCAUGGGAUUUUCCAGGCAAGAGUACUGGAGUGGGGUGCCAUUGCCUUCUCCAUAAAUUCAUACAAGUGAACUAAUUUACAAAACAGAAACAGACUCACGGAUUUAGAAAAUCAACUUAUGAUUACCAAAAAAAUUAGUUGGGGGAUGAAUUAAGAGUUUGGGUUUGACAUAUAUACACUGCUACUGCUACUGUUAAGUCGCUUCAGUAGUGUCCGACUCUGUGCAACCCCAGAGACCGCAGCCCACCAGGCUCCCCCGACCCUGGGAUUCUCCAGGCAAGAAUACUGGAGUGGGUUGCCAUUUCCUUCUCCAAUGCGUGAAAGUGAAAAGUGAAAGUGAAGUCGCUCAGUCGUGUCGGACUCCUAGCGACCCCAUGGACUGCAGCCUACCAGGCUCCUCCGUCCAUGGGAUUUUCCAGGCAAGAGUACUGGAGUGGGGUGCCAUUGCCUUCUCGGGAAAUCAACCCUACUCCAGUAUAAAAUAACAAUUAAAUUACCGGAAAAGUGGUGGUUGGGGGGGGCAUGAAGAAAUGCUACCACCUUGUGGCCAUUUUCCAAAACAACAGCUUUAAAACCUGCACUCAUGGGCACUUCAUAUUCACUAAGUCUGCCUGGCUGUAACUGAAAAACACCUACCCUCGGGAAAUGUCCCAGACAGCUCAUCGAAAAGAGUUCAUAAUAGCACAGACGGUCAAGGAGCCAAUUUCAAGAGGUAAGUUUAACUCACACCGUUUUGAAAAAAAUCACAUGAAAAGAUGUCAACAUCGCUAAAUAUGAGAGAAAUGAGUAUCAAAACUUCAACAAGGUAUCACCUCACACCAGUCAGAAUGGCCAUAGACAGAAACUAGAAACUGUACAAGCAAUAAAUGCUGGAG